CUGCUGCCUCCCGUAGGAGUCUGGUCCGUGUCUCAGUACCAGUGUGGGGGACCUUCCUCUCAGAACCCCUACGCAUCGUCGCCUUGGUGGGCCGUUACCCCACCAACUAGCUAAUGCGCCGCAUGCCCAUCCGUCUCCGAUAUUCUUUCAAAACCAGACGAUGCCGUCCAGCUUCAUACGGGGUAUUAGACGCCGUUUCCGACGAUUAUCCCCCUGAGACGGGCAGGUUGCAUACGUGUUACUCACCCGUGCGCCGGUUGCCGG
rnacentral:rRNA from 1 species